UUCUACAACCAUCCCACCCUGGUAACGCCCGAUCUCGUCUGAUCUCGGAAGCUAAGCAGGGUCGGGCCUGGUUAGUACUUGGAUGGGAGACCUCCUGGGAAUACCGGGUGCUGUAGGCU
rnacentral:rRNA from 1 species